rnacentral:lncRNA from 1 species
GGCCGUUCUUGUCCUCCAUUUUAUUCUAACUUCAGUGAAACAAUGAAGGUUCCUUUCUGCGUAGUUUUCUUAGUGUUUGUUUACCUGGCAGGUAAUUGACAUUUUUAACCUGUAUUAAGAAACUCAUAACUUUAUCUCAUAUAAAAGCAUUUUAGUUUUUUCACUACCUACCGUUUACGCCGAGUUUAAAAAGACCAUUGAAAAUAGUUUUGCCAAUUCUAUUCUUGCCCAUGAAAAAUAUACAAGUUUAUUUUUCACUUAGGAGACACAUACUGAUGUUUUUACAGGGAAAUAUUUAAUCAACUUUUUUUAAUUAUUACAUUUAUUUUUUUAAAGCCAAAAUUGGAUAUGUAGGCUAUACACAUUUUUAUUAUAAAUGUUUUAUUUUACAUAUCAAUGAAAGGAGACCUGAGACAAAAGUCUGAGAAACAGCAACCCUACAACACAAACGAGUAAAAAAGAAAACUAGAUAUAUUAAUACAAAAAUAUCUUUUAAAGUGCUUCACUGAUAAAAGAUCCAAAUUUGCCUUUUUUCAUUUGUAACCGUGUGCGAUUAUUAAACUUGUCUACAGUGCAUCCGUCUUUUACUUACCACUAACAUUUUCUUUUUUUUUUAACUGCAAUUUCGAAAAUAAUUUGUCAGUUUUACUCCGACCGAUUUAUUGCUAUAUCAAGUAGUAUAUGUCAGUGUAUGUCAUGAAAUUACGUGUCAAACAGAACCUACGAUAUAGGUUCAUGGGGUAAAUGCCUUAAGAAAUUGGGAUUGGAAAAAAAUGUUUCAAUACAUCCACAAGAAAAAAAAAGGAAUUUAGAAAAAAAAACACCGGAUAAUUUGCCGUGUGGCCUAAUCGUAUGCCUUAUUUCAGGUUCUACGUAUGCUCAACUAAUCACACCAACGAUGGCUUGUGAGAUGAAAUGCAUUCAUGACAAGACAGGCGGUAGUUCAGUUUCUUUUGAAUCACAAAUCUAUACAGACUGUCGGGAUUACUGUUUGAAACAUGCGUAAGCCAUUUUAUUAAUCAAUCAAUCAAUCAAUCAUCAGAUGGAGGUUAACAUACCGGGAAAAAAGAAGGAUUGCUAUUAAGACAACAGAGUCCAAAUGAUACAAAUGGAUGUAACUAUAAUCCAUUGUUUACGGCCUAGCUUCAACAAAGAUGUGAUGCUACAUGUAUGUUUUCUUUUUUUUUUUCAAAAUCGAAAAAGAAGACUUUCACUUCUUCUUACUACAUUUGUAUAAACUUCAAGAUUUACCUGUAUAUUUUUAAAAACGGUUUUUUUUCUAAAGUGAAUAUUUUCGAAGGGUUAAAUAUUUCGCAGUGGCGACUUGCCAUGGCUUUGUUUGGACUUGUUUGUUUGCCUUUUGGCCUUGAAUGUGUGUCCCUAAUAUUUUAUUAACUGUUCAUUUGCAUUCAGAUAUCGCAGAUCAAAUUUAUUUGUUUAUAGAGUAUUAAUGUACGUUUUUUGAUUGAGUUAAGCCUGCCAAUUGAUAUUUUACCGUGCGUUUUUCUAUGUUGGGAUGUUAUUCUAUUGUUUCAGAAAAAAGGGAGAAGGUUUGGAUCCAUUAAAACGUUUAAUCCCGCUGCAAAUGAUUGCACCUGUCCUAAGUCAGGAAUCUGAUGUACAGUAGUUGUCGUUUGUUUAUGUAAUUUAUACGUGUUUCUCGUUUCUUAUUUUUUUUAAAAUUUUGUAUAGAUUAGACCGUUGGUUUUCCCGUUUGAAUGGUUUUACACUAGUAAUUUUGGGGCUCUUUAUAGCUUGUUGUUCGGUGUGAGCCAAGUUAUUUUGAUGGAGAGUUGUCUCAUUGGCACUCACACCAUAUUUUCCUAUAUCUAUUGAAUAGAUUCUAAUGGUUAUAUGUAAACCAAAUAAUCCUAUCGUUCAUGAUAUAACUAUCUCACUUACAAUAUCAAAAGGAUCAUGACUGGGCGUUGGAGAGGAAAGACUUAUUCGAGUUGUUGAUCAAUUGAAAUUUGAUAAAUUUGAUUGGGAAAAAAAACCACCAAUAGAAUUUUUAAAAAAAUCGUAGGAACAGCAAACAAUUACUUAUGGAAUGACUGUAAUAAUACGAGCGUAGCGGGCUAUUUAACAGUGUGCACCACAUUUUUAUGUUAUUUCGAAUAGACAGAAAAAAUAUUACAGUAAUUUCUUAUAAUUUAAUUCUAAAUUCCAUUUUAAACCGUAGAAAAGCAUGAAAAAAACAUUGAUGAAGUCACAUGACUAAAUUAUGCCAUGAGCUGAUAACAAAAUAACGUCAGCCAAUCAGAAACGAGCAGGUACUUCCAAAAUUAAAUUAUAUCGCAAUAAAACAAAUGAAUAUGAAAACGGAUUUUUUUACAUACAACAUAUUAAUGAUACAAUAUAAGUAAACUGAAAUAUUUCUACUUACUAAAAUUGAGAAUGGAAAUGGGGAAUGUGUCAAAGAGACAACAACCCGACUAAAGAGCAGACAACAGCCGAAGGCUAUAUAUACCAAUGGGUCUUCAACGCAGCGAGAAAAUUCCGCACCCGCGCGUGAAUGCCUCAGCUUGCCCCUAAAUAAAAGUUCAUGAAAAUGAACGUCACACAAUGAACUAAAAUUAAAAAAACACACGACUGACAAAUAGAUAUAGAAAGAUAAGAUAUGAGUGUCAAUGAAACAACUCUCCAUCCAAGUCACAAUUUAUAAAAGUAAACCAUUAUAGGUCAAAAUAUGCUCUUCAACACGGAGCCUUGACUCACACCGAACAGUAAGCUAUACUGAAAGGGGCCAAAGGGCCCCAAAAAAUAUACUAAUGUAAAACCAUUCAAACGGGAUAACCAACGGUCUUAUUUAUAUAUAUAUACAAUCUAAUUAAAAACCGAUCUCUCAUCGCUCCCGUUUUCUGAUAUGUCGCCACGCGACAUAUCAGAAAACGGGAGCGAUGAGAGAUCGGUUUUUAAUUAGAUUGAUAUCACAUUAACAGAAACGAGAAACAUUCAUAAACCCCAUCAACAAACGACAAUUAUUGAACAUCAUAUUUCUGACUUAGGACAGGUGCAAACAAUUGAAACGGGUUUAAACGUUUUAAUGGUACCAAACCUUUACUUUUAUUUGAAACAAUAAUAGUGUAACAUCACAAAAAAGAUCAACACACUAUAAAAUAUCAAUUAAUAGCUAUUUCUAUUUCAGAUACGAUAACUUGGGAAACUUAGGAACACUUGGAUGAGAAGUAUAUAUGUCACUAGCACAGUGACCGUACUAAAGAAUUAAAUAUUUAAUAAAGAAUUCAUUUUCA